GAUGAACGCUGGCGGCGUGCCUAAUACAUGCAAGUCGAGCGAACGGACGAGAAGCUUGCUUCUCUGAUGUUAGCGGCGGACGGGUGAGUAACACGUGGAUAACCUACCUAUAAGACUGGGAUAAUUUCGGGAAACCGUAGCUAAUACCGGAUAAUAUUUUGAACCGCAUGGUUCAAAAGUGAAAGACGGUCUUGCUGUCACUUAUAGAUGGAUCCGCGCUGCAUUAGCUAGUUGGUAAGGUAACGGCUUACCAAGGCAACGAUGCAUAGCCGACCUGAGAGGGUGAUCGGCCACACUGGAACUGAGACACGGUCCAGACUCCUACGGGAGGCACCAGAAGGGAAUCUUCCGCAAUGGGCGAGAGCCUGACGGAGCAACGCCGCGUGAGUGAUAAAAAUCUUCGGAUCGUAAAACUCUGUUAUUAGGGAAGAACAUAUGUGUAAGUAACUGUGCACAUCUUGACGGUACCUAAUCAGAAAGCCACGGCUAACUACGUG
rnacentral:rRNA from 1 species